AAUUAAUUAAAAGUUGAACAAACUUACUAUAAUUAAUUUCUAUUUUAAUAAGUUUAAUUAAUUCAACAUCGAGGUAAUAAUCUAAUUUUUUAAUUUAAUCUAUUAAAAUUAAUUAUC
rnacentral:rRNA from 1 species